GCCAUGCAGUCGAACGAUGAAGCCCAGCUUGCUGGGUGGAUUAGUGGCGAACGGGUGAGUAACACGUGAGUAACCUGCCCCUGACUUCGGGAUAACUCCGAGAAAUCGGUGCUAAUACCGGAUAUGCACAUGUGCCUGCAUGGGUGUAUGUGGAAAGAUUUAUCGGUUGGGGAUGGGCUCGCGGCCUAUCAGCUUGUUGGUGGGGUGAUGGCCUACCAAGGCGACGACGGGUAGCCGGCCUGAGAGGGUGACCGGCCACACUGGGACUGAGACACGGCCCAGACUCCUACGGGAGGCAGCAGUGGGGAAUAUUGCACAAUGGGCGAAAGCCUGAUGCAGCGACGCCGCGUGAGGGAUGACGGCCUUCGGGUUGUAAACCUCUUUCAGUAGGGAAGAAGCUCCUCGGAGUGACGGUACCUGCAGAAGAAGCGCCGGCUAACUACGUGCCAGCAGCCGCGGUAAUACGUAGGGCGCAAGCGUUGUCCGGAAUUAUUGGGCGUAAAGAGCUCGUAGGCGGUUUGUCGCGUCUGCUGUGAAAACGCAAGGCUUAACCUUGCGCCUGCAGUGGGUACGGGCAGACUAGAGUGCGGUAGGGGAGACUGGAAUUCCUGGUGUAGCGGUGGAAUGCGCAGAUAUCAGGAGGAACACCGAUGGCGAAGGCAGGUCUCUGGGCCGUUACUGACGCUGAGGAGCGAAAGCAUGGGGAGCGAACAGGAUUAGAUACCCUGGUAGUCCAUGCCGUAAACGUUGGGCACUAGGUGUGGGAUCCAUUCCACGGGUUCCGUGCCGCAGCUAACGCAUUAAGUGCCCC
rnacentral:rRNA from 1 species